ACCCUGGUUUGAACAGGCAAGUGAUAAAAGGCCCUUUAGAGACUCUUUGCGGAAUUCCAAUAGACUGAAUUUCAAAUGACUUUCAGAAAUUAUUGUGAAUUUUCUUAGGUGUGAUAUGGUAUUGCAGUGAGAUAGGAGGAUAUCCCUUGAUUUUGAUAUGAUGGUGGUGUGUGGGGGUGACACGCAAUGAUGUCCAUAAUUUAUUCUGAAGUUGUUCAGCAAAGUAAAUAAGUAAGUAAAUAAAAUCUGAGCUUUUUUUUUAAGGUUAGGGAUGGCUCAAGGGAGGAGAAUGAGAUGCCCCAAGGGAUGUGGCUCACCUUCCUGGCCUUGGCUGAGCCCCAAAUACGUGACAAACCCCAGGGCAUGCACUUGCUGUGUGUUCAUGAAGGGAAUGUGCACCAGCACCGGCACAGAGGUGCUUAAUCGAAGCUGAAUGAAUGAAUGGGUAGUCUUUGUGGGGUUUGCCUCCUAGGAUGGGCUCUAGCUGAGCACCCCCUGCCACUCCACAUGUUUACAUCCCACCCAGCCUUCAAGCCACCACGAGACUGUCACCGGAGUGCCUGGGAGGGCCCUUGGAGGUCUCCCUGGGUGAUUCCAGGCACCGCUGCCAUCUCCCCUCCCUGACCCUCCUCCGCGUCUCCUGGCAGCCCCAACACGGGGCUCAGUCACUGUUCGGGUCAAGAGUGGCUUGCUCAUAAUCACCCGAUCACGAGCGGCUGGCCUGCUGGUCGCUAAGUAUUUCAUUGACUCGGGUGCUGCACCUUCAACAGCCUUGUACCCAAAAAGGCUCCCUAGUCAGGCGAGACAUAUUGUAGGGACCCAGCGAGAACUCGGUGUCCUAAAUAAUAAUAAUGAUAAUGAUUAUCAUAAAAAUACCUAAGCUUACCGAGCAUUUAGUAUUUCCAAAUGUCACACUAAGUGUUUAACACAAGUUCUCUCUUUAAUUCUCCUAAGAAGCCUGUUUUGGUGUCUUUUUCGUUAACUCCUAUCCCGUCUUACAGCCUGGUUCAUAGUCUCACACUUAUGAGGUGGCAGUGCCGGGAUUCAAACUCUGGUUGCCUCUUUCCUGUUUCUCCCCUAGGAGCGAUGUUCAAGCCACGUCGUCUGUGGCCCUCGAGGGCUCAGGCUUCCUCUGUGGUGGGUUGGUGAUGCUUGGGGGCAGCUACGAGGAAAGCCAAGCGCCACUAGGGCCCACGAGCUGCAACUCCAAGUACGUUCUUUGUUCCCCACCAAGCUCCAUGUUGAAAUGAUUAUUUAAAAUAAUGGCUCUUCCCCUUCUUUUGCAAUCCUUCAGAAGCACACCACAAGGUAACUGAAAGUUGGGCACACUGACAAGUGUCGCCUUUUAUGAAAGUGCCUGGAAGGACCCGGAAGGACCCUUUCCUCAGAGGUCAGCUCCAUGGAGGUACCACGGUGGCAGAUGCUCCACUUAAGCUGGGAAAAUCGUCAUGUCUUCAAGCACCUUUGGCUCUCCUGUCAUUCAUUCGGGAAAGGGAUUCCUGGUGUGUCCCCACCAGCAUCCGAGUUAGGACGGAUGGCCGUUUCUCGUCUUUGCUCCUCUCUUGGGGCCAGUUGCCCAUCCAUCUCCUGGUGGGUGGAAGCUGAUAUUGGAUAAAUACCAGUUGUCACUGCUGGGCUCUGCCCAGAUUUUCUACCCCUGAAGGCAUCCUGUCAACAGGUGUCUGGUGACACAGGGCCCAUGAGGUCCUGCCUGCUUCACAGAUGUUAGGUUCCAGCCGCAAAACCAAAGAAACUUGGGGUGGGAAAGAAGAGUCUAGAUUUCUCUAAAUGUGAAGCUUUCCAGGGCUGCUGACUAAGGAGUUUUCUUUCCAAACAUCUGAAACAGCAAACAGAUUGUAAAUGAAGAGGGAGUUACGAGAUAGCUAAGGGAAGCAACACCUCCCUGUCUUCUGGGUUGUAGCUGUUCCCGCACCGGCAGGACCUUGGCAGCCAAGAAAGGUGAUUAAACAGGGUGCCGGUGGGGGGGGGUCAGAAUGGAAUUGGGGUGCCUGGCAAAUAUUAGGAUACUGGGGAGAGUUCAGCCCUCUUCUCUGAGCCAAGGGAGAGCAGCUGAUUCUGACAAGAGGUGGAACGCUGGUCUGUGUCAUUCUUUUGAGCUAAUGACUUAAUGAUUCCCACCCAGAUCAAAGUUCAGGAUCCCAAAGCAGCUCAGCAAAAAUAAAGUGAAAUAAAUUGUAACCCCUCUCGAAGGGAUGCUUCCCACGGCCACAGCAUGAAGCGAGGGGCUGGCCGGUCCUUGGGCCACGCUUCUCUCCUCCUGCUGAGUAAAAGUAAAUUUCAGUAAAGUGUCUCCAGUCAAGGCUGGAGUUUAUAUUGAAAGGAGAGCCCCUCGUGUAGCUUGCUCUGGCAAUAACCCUGCUGCAUUUGGGGUCCUGGGGCCACGAUGAGGAGCCUGGGCCCAGAACCUCAAAGUUAGGAGCAAGUCACCCUGCCACGCCCCCACCACCUCCAGCCUCAACAUGGAAGUCCCGCUCUGGAUAACAGACAAGAGGAAAGCAGGUGCAGUGAAUGGGAUGUUGAAAGCUGACAGAUGGCUGGACAGCUUUCAACAUGGAGCUCACCCUCAGGUACCCUUGUUGUAUCACUCGAGUUUAAUGACCAUCAGUGUGACAUCCUCUGUCACAAGUAUCAAGAUUUGUCUGAGGACCCAACAGUGUGGUCAUCUGAGUCCCUCUGAGCCACCCUCAGCCUUGCUCAGGGACCCAGAGGCAUCUUUACUGAUUUCCCCUAACCAUCCAGUCAGGACACCCUCUGCGGAAUGAUCAGGACAAUUCUAGGUUUGGGAGUCUCCUGGAGAGCUGCGUACUUUUCAGCCAGGGCCUGCCUGGUGGUGUGGGCUACAGAGCUGUGCCCCAGGAGUGGCCAAGGUUGCCCACUCUCCAGCCCCUACUUGCCACUUGCACGAGGCAGGGAUUCAGGCCAAACCAAACCAACUAAAACAAACAGCUGUUGGCAAAAUGGAAACCCCAUGGGGUUGGGGUUCCGAGGCUGCUUCAGAGCUUGGAAAACCGAGUCAGUGAUUGAUAGAAUAGGAUAUUUUUGGGAUAAAUUCAGAUGGGGCUUGAGGUGGCGUUCAUGGUAUUUGUAGGCAAAAACAAAGCACAAAUUCUAGGAGGAUCCCUGUCUAUUUCUCUGAGGGGCUCAUGCAUAAACUGGUUUAGGAAGCAAAUAGGGUGAAAGUCUGCCUGCAUGCCAGGCACUGUGCCAGGGACCAGGGGGACAAACCUGAGCCAGACACGGGCCCUGCCCUCAAGGAGUUCACAGCCUGAGGGAGACAGAUGAGCAAAUCGGUCUCACAAAGCAAGGCGACACUCUCACCAAGUCGAGAGGUUUAUAGUCUGCGGUUAAGCAUUCAGCCUGUGGGAUCAGACAGACCUGGGUUCUAGACUCUUCUGCUUUCUGGCUGAGUGGCCUUGGGGAAGUUACAUGAUGUUCCAAGUCUCGGUUUCCUCGCCAGUAAACUGGGAAUAAGUACAGUUCAGGGACCUCUUAGGCUUGCCAGGAGGAUUCAGAGAGAGGAUGUGUGCAAAGCGACGUGUCUGGCACUCAGCAGCGCUCUGAAUAAAUGUUAACCAGGUUUAUCGUGAGUGUUAUGUUAUCAGAGGGGUUGGCAAGCACUCUGGGAGGCUGGAGAGCUGGCUGUCUUGGGGGAUAGGGGUCCAGAAAGGCUCCCGGGGAAGCGAUGCUGGCCGGAAGGUGAGAAAGAGCCUCUCUGGGAGGGGGGCUUUCGGUUACUGGCGAGGAGCUGGCCGUGCAGGCAGGAGCCACGGGCACAGAGGGGAUGGUGGCCCCAGGUGCUAUGCGACACGCCGAGAAGUUCAGACCUUGCCGGGAAGGCAAAGGGUAUCGUAAAGGAUUUUUAACAGGAAAAGAGCACUCUGUCGUCAGAGCGGAAGAUUCGAUGGGCAGGGAGGAAAGGCGCGGAAGGCCAGCGUGGAGGCCGUUGCCGUAGUCACGUGAGCGACUGGUGGGCCUGAAGGAGGGAAUGGAUAUUUAGGAGGGGUAAUUGCUAGGACUCUAGAACCAACAGGACCAGGGACGAGGAAGGGGAGCAGGCCAAGAGCGAGUUUGGAGUUUGGGCAGUUAAUGGAGAAAGGGCCACCAAGGCCAGCGGUGGGAUGGACGUGUGGGUGGAGGGCUGGGGACGCAGGUGCGCACAAGGAUCUGCGAUGCACAGACUUGGUGUGGGGAGUCUGUGGGACGUCUGGGUGGGGAGGGCGGGGGGCACUCAGAAUCGUGGAGCGGUGAGGAUGCGAUCUCGAUCGAGAACAUUCAUUACCUGCUUUGAUGGAGGAUGUUGUGUAGGAAAUACUAUGAAGACCAGAGCAGCGCCUUUUCUGAGUCAGACACAGCCCUGAUGACACAAGACCCCCUCAUUCUCACUCCUUGACCCUGUGACCUUUUGUAACCCUAGUCACUGACCCUCAGGAGAGAGACAGUCACACGGAGAGGAGCAUAGGCUCGGGUCAAAGCUGAGGCCAGCAGGUGAAAGCCAAAGGAGCUAAAGUCACAAUUCAUAGCAUAACUCAGGGCGUAGACAAGGUGACCAUCAUUUUAGUCCCCGAAUGCUCCUUUCCCAUGGAAGAAGGGAGCAGUUUUUGAAAGAAGCGAAUUUAAAAUAAAAUGUUAUGUGAAGUGAUUGGAAGUGCUAUCCUCAGAGAUAGUCCAGGCUGAAAAGAGGAGCUAAAAUGAUGGCUAAUGAAAGGUCAGCUAUAUUAAGGGUGACUUGAGGAUUCUGGAGGGCAGGCUGGCUUUUGACUUACUGUCGGGAAGACAACCACUUCUCCUGCCUUUGAUCUGCAUUGUCAGUGACGGAGCACUGACCUGGAUGACCGAUGAAAAUACAAAGUUAUUCACUGAGUGCUUACGACAUGCCCACAAUUACGUGGAUUAUCUGCAUCUACUCUCCAGACCUGAGCAGUCGUCAUGUUAUCUUCCACCUGUUUUGUCACUCUUACGCUUCUUUUGAAGCACUAGGUCACAGAAAUUUUCAAGCUGGUUGAGGUGCUGGAGAUCACCUGCAGAAAUGCUCAGGAGGCCCAUGAAAGGCCACAGGUGUCAUGUGGCCACAUUUGGCGAGGCUUCACCUGUUCUUAGGAUCUGUGGGCAAAAUGGAGAGAUGUGGGUGUCACUAUGUUGAGAAGCCACAUGCAGAGUCUUCUGGCUCACUGGGAGGGCAGGUGCCGAGAUUUCUGCUGGUCAACACUUGUGUUGAUGAUUUGGAUCACGAAGGGUAUUUAUCAAUCUGUGGGUGACAAAGCUGAGGAAGGAGGCAGAGGCUAUACGCUAGAUGGUAGAAUUAAGAUUUGAUGGGGAGGCAUGGGUGAAGGGGGUUGAAAGGUAAAAAAAACCAGAAGAAAAGAUUUGAUGAGAUGGAUAGGCUGAAAUAGUCGUCUAAAGCUAGUAAAGUGGUAAAAGGAUAAAUGUAGAACUGUUUUUAGAUUUAAAAAUGCACUGAUCACAAGUAGAUAAGUGGAUGACAGAGAAAAUCUGAGUUGAUGGCAGUUACGGAGAAAAGGCUGUUCACACAGUAAAUUAAAGACAUAACGUUUUUGCCAUAUACAGUAAUGCGAUUUUAGGCCACUUUUAAAAGAAGUGUGUGAAAUAAAAUAAAUGUGAGCCCCAUACCAGUGAUGAAACAACAUCUGAUGCAGUCUGGGGAGCACACUUUAGGAGGAACUUUGGCAAACUGAAACAAUAUCCAGAGGAGAAUGCUGUUUAUGGGAAAGGCCUGGAAACCAUGUCAUCAUGGGAGACCUGGUGGAAGGUGGGGAUGGGGAACAUGGUAGUGAUCUUCAGGUAUUUACAGAAAAGGGAUUAGGUUUCUCAUGCAGCUUGAGAGGAGAUAUCUUGAGCCAACAGGAGGUGAUGGGGAAGCAGGUUUCUACUCAAGAGAAGUCCUAACAAUCAAUAGUGGUCAUCAAAGCAUGUGUGGUUUGUGAGGGGGCUGCCUUGCAAACUUCUGAGCCCAAACAAACAUUUGCAUUGAGCCCUGCAAAUGUUCAGGCAAAGGCUGGACUGGCUACCCAUUCAGAGGGGAGAUGCAGGAGAGUAUAAAUGAAAAGGCCAAGAGUCAGGAAAACUGGAUUCAGGUUCUGGUCUGGUUAUAAGAUGCGUAAUGUUGUGCUAAUCAAUUUCCUUUUCCGGGCUUCACUUUCUUCAGCUCUGAGAAUUUAAUCAUCAUUGGCUUUGAACUUUUGGUAGCAAUGGAACCAUUCUAUCAAAUGAAAUCUUCUGCCAUUCCCCCCUCUGCCAAUAUAUAAGCCCAGCGCGUUAGUACUGGACAUCCCCCUCACUGCAGGCGAGCCCUCCCCCCGCAAACCCUGCACCAGGGCUCCUGGGAGUGGUUUGCAAAGCACUGGACCAGCUGAUCUUCCUGCCCUAAAAUCCCAUGAUUCCCUAAGGUUUCGUCCUACCUUAGUUUUCUAUUCUAUAGAUGCCAACCCCUCAUUUUAUGCGUGAAGUACCUGACACUUAGAAAGGGGAUUUAGCCAAGAUCUUACAGCUGACUAGUGGUAGAGCUAUAUCUAGAGCACACAGCUCCUAGCCUAUCUGGGGCCCCUUCCAUCUCGCCAGGCUGUUCCCUACAUGAUUGUCUUAGCAUUAACCCUGUGCUGCCCUCCACAGAUUCUUUCCUCCUUGGGAAAGCACCAGGAAGGCAACAGGUCCAGUCCGAGGCAUUGCUGCAGCGUGAGACAAUGAGCUUGGACUUCGCUUCUCUACGUAUUACUUUAGCUCAAUGAAAUCCUAGUCCUCCUGGUUGACUUUGAGAAAGACAAAUGGGCAGCUGCCGUCUGAAGCAGAUGAUGACCGAGCCAAGCUUGGAGCCAGCAGGCUUUCCCUUAGCUGAGACCCCAGGGAGAUGCUCAAGGCUCUUCCUGCACCAGCCACCGCGAUCGCUUUCUAGUGCAACUUGAGCCCUGGUCUGGUGCACAGCUGAGCACUUCUGGUCCUCAAGGUGAGUCCUGACUUAACCCUGUGACAAUCCAAUAUUAAUGUGCCUGCUGUGAUUAAAACAUCAACAGCCAAUAUGACAAAUGAAAGGGAAAUCUAAAAGUGGAUGUAAGAUGAAGUAUCCAUUCUCUGUGUCAUUAAAGCAGGGUCACUUUCAUGAGGAAGGCCCACUUGCUUGUUUUUAAAUAAUGCAGUAACUUCUUAUUUUAAGUGAUCCUUUCUCCUGUGACUGCUUCUUGAAUCUACUGGGACUCCACAGACCUUCAUAGGUUUUGCUGACUCUGCAUUCUGGCUAUCAUUUAUUGACUGUCUCCUCAUGUGACAAGCGUUUGACAUUUAUUAUUAAAUAUAUCACCACCACAGGUAGGCAAUAUCAUUCCCAUUUUUAAAGAUAAUGCAAUGAAGGCUCAGAGAAGUUGAUUAACUUUCUCAUAAUAACACAGCUAAUAAAUGGGCUCUGAACUUAGGGUGGUGAAGGCUGUCAUUAUGAUUUAGUCGUAACAUACUGUAGAAGCAGCCUUUUAAGCUUCAGUUACUGGAACGUGUAAAGUUCUGCUGAGGAAUACUUUUAUCCUUCCACUCAGAAGGUCCACUGGGCACUGAAAACUUGUGACUAUUCUGAAGGAAAGCCUUCUCUGAAAAACACAAAAAGAAAGUGGGGGAAAUGGUGGGAGAUGGACUGGAUAAGCAUCGUCACCCCAGGCCAUACUUAAAUUACACUCAGACAACUGUUUCAAUGGCCUGUGUAUAACUUGGUAACCCAGAAUCUCUGUCAAUGAUGGAGAUGCAAAAGGGCUCCACAGGAACAUUCCCACAGCAGAGGAGGGGACCACUGCCCGGCUGGCUGCCUACUUCUAAUGAAAUACGCCAUGUGACUUUUUGCUGAAGCAAUUUGUAAUAACAAAAUUUUAAAGUUACUUUCAGAAAUUUUCUGCUCACCUUAAUUUCAUACAUAUAUUUUUUCAUAAAGAAAAAAUUCUUUAUAAAUCCCUAUUUAACCCUUGCCAAUUCUGAUGAAGAUAUGUCAUAAUGAAUCACGGGAAUUUCUUUUAUGAUCUCAUGUUCUACAUAAAAACAGCUCAGCUACUAAAAGUACUGAUCUAAUUCUUAGGGGCCAGGAUCUAAUUCCUUCUGGUUUCAAACAAAGCAGAAGCCCUACCAAGUGAUUUCCUGUGGAUUGAAAUAUUCCAUUAAAACGGAAUAAAACUUCACCUCCACACUCAUUACACUGUCCCUCAGAUACUAAAGUACAAAGACGCCAGGCAAAAUUUCUUUUAAAUUAUUUUAUUUUUGUGUAAGCUAAAAGGAAAUUUACACACUGAAAUCUCAAAAGACCUUGGGCAUGCACGGUAACCUUGUUAGAGGCUCUUCUACAUGUCUCUCUUUUUUCCAUAGGAAUUUCCCCAAACAUUUAAAACCCAUAGUUUUUACUGUAUAUACAGCCUAAACCAUAGCAAUCUAUGAUUAUGUCAUUUUACACUGUGCAAAAUCCUCAAAAAAUAGUGGUAGGAUAGAACAAAGAAAUCAGUAACGAGUAAAUUUCAUCGUAAGACAUUCAUAUAUUUUGGUCCUUCUCCAAACCAAACUGAUUUUAAACAGACGCAAUCUCUUUAAACCCCUCCAAUCAAAUUCUGACAAUGAUCCAUACCCCAUAACAAAAGA